rnacentral:rRNA from 1 species
GAGACGCUGGCGGCGUGCCUAACACAUGCAAGUCGAGCGGGGUUGAGGCGAGAGGUAACUCGAACUUCUACCUAGCGGCGGACGGGUGAGUAACGCGUGGGCAACCUGCCUCAAGGUUUGGGAUAACAGCCCGAAAGGGCUGCUAAUACCGGAUAUGCCUAUGGCCUCGCAUGGGGCUAUGAGCAAAGGGGAAACCCGCCUUGAGAUGGGCCCGCGUCCCAUCAGCUAGUUGGUGAGGUAACAGCUCACCAAGGCGACGACGGGUAGCCGGCCUGAGAGGGUGACCGGCCACACUGGGACUGAGACACGGCCCAGACUCCUACGGGGGGCAGCAGUGGGGGAUCUUGCACAAUGGGCGAAAGCCUGAUGCAGCGACGCCGCGUGAGCGAAGAAGGCCUUCGGGUUGUAAAGCUCUGUCUGGAGGGACGAACAAAAUGACGGUACCUCCGGAGGAAGCCACGGCUAACUACGUG